rnacentral:piRNA from 1 species
UCUCCAGCCCGGGUUUGUUCCAGAA